UACGGAGGGGGCAAGCGUUGUUCGGAAUUACUGGGCGUAAAGGGCGCGCAGGCGGCUGCUCAAGUCAGGCGUGAAAGGCCUGGGCUCAACCCGGGAAUUGCGCUUGAGACUGGGCUGGCUUGAGUGCGGGAGAGGAUGGUGGAAUUCCCGGUGUAGCGGUGAAAUGCGUAGAGAUCGGGAGGAACACCAGUGGCGAAGGCGGCUACCUGGACCAGCACUGACACUGAGGCACGAAAGCGUGGGGAGCGAACAGG
rnacentral:rRNA from 1 species